ACGAACGCUGGCGGCGUGCCUAAUACAUGCAAGUUGAGCGCUGAAGGUUGGUACUUGUACCAACUGGAUGAGCAGCGAACGGGUGAGUAACGCGUGGGGAAUCUGCCUUUGAGCGGGGGACAACAUUUGGAAACGAAUGCUAAUACCGCAUAAAAACUUUAAACACAAGUUUUAAGUUUGAAAGAUGCAAUUGCAUCACUCAAAGAUGAUCCCGCGUUGUAUUAGCUAGUUGGUGAGGUAAAGGCUCACCAAGGCGAUGAUACAUAGCCGACCUGAGAGGGUGAUCGGCCACAUUGGGACUGAGACACGGCCCAAACUCCUACGGGAGGCAGCAGUAGGGAAUCUUCGGCAAUGGACGAAAGUCUGACCGAGCAACGCCGCGUGAGUGAAGAAGGUUUUCGGAUCGUAAAACCCUGUUGGUAGAGAAGAACGUUGGUGAGAGUGGAAAGCUCAUCAAGUGACGGUAACUACCCAGAAAGGGACGGCUAACUACGUG
rnacentral:rRNA from 1 species